CCUACGUGAGGCAGCAGUGAGGAAUAUUGGUCGAUGGGCGCGAGCCUGAACCAGCCAAGUAGCGUGAAGGAUGACUGCCCUACGGGUUGUAAACUUCUUUUAUAAAGGAAUAAAGUGAGGCACGUGUGCCUUUUUGUAUGUACUUUAUGAAUAAGGAUCGGCUAACUCCGUGCCAGCAGCCGCGGUAAUACGGAGGAUCCGAGCGUUAUCCGGAUUUAUUGGGUUUAAAGGGAGCGUAGAUGGGUUGUUAAGUCAGUUGUGAAAGUUUGCGGCUCAACCGUAAAAUUGCAAUUGAUACUGGCAGUCUUGAGUACAGUUGAGGUAGGCGGAAUUCGUGGUGUAGCGGUGAAAUGCUUAGAUAUCACGAAGAAUUCCGAUUGCGAAGGCAGCUUACUAAACUGCCACUGACAUUGAUGCUCGAAAGCGUGGGUAUCAAACAGGAUUAGAUACCCGUGUAGUC
rnacentral:rRNA from 1 species